GACGAACGCUGGCGGCGUGCUUAACACAUGCAAGUCGAACGAAGUGGCGAACGGGUGAGUAACGCGUAAUCAACCUGCCCUUCAGAGGGGGACAACAGUUGGAAACGACUGCUAAUACCGCUUACUUACGGAGGGGAUUGCGUCUGAUUAGCUAGUGGGAGGGGUAACGGCCCACCAAGGCGAUGAUCAGUAGCCGGUCUGAGAGGAUGAACGGCCACAUUGGGACUGAGACACGGCCCAGACUCCUACGGGAGGCAGCAGUGGGGAAUCUUCCGCAAUGGACGAAAGUCUGACGGAGCAACGCCGCGUGAGUGAUGACGGCCUUCGGGUUGUAAAGCUCUGUUAAUCGGGACGCGGUACCGGAAGAGAAAGCAACGGCUAACUACGUGCCAGCAGCCGCGGUAAUAG
rnacentral:rRNA from 1 species